GCUCUCUUCGUCUAGGGGUUAGGACACUGCUUUUUCAAUGCAACAACAUGGGUUCGAAUCCCAUAGAGGGUA
rnacentral:tRNA from 1 species